UUGGCGGCUGUGAUGCGCAACGGUAAAGGGAUUUUCUGAGGGACGGGAACUUAGUUUCCCUCCUCCUGAUUGAGAGAAACCAAUGGAUCCUUCUGAGCCUACCC
rfam:Triticum aestivum genome assembly, contig: Triticum_aestivum_CS42_TGACv1_scaffold_031292_1BL